GGGAGUGUCUGCUGGAGAUUGGCCGGGAUGUGUCAGCUGACCGGAGUUCGCGGCGAACCGUUCGCGAGAAGUUCGCGGACGGUUCGCGACAUCUCUACUCACUUACACUUCCUCGCAUCAUGUUAAUUGUAAUUAAUAAACGUAUUCAGGGACUAGAUGAGCCGUCGUGGCUGUCUUGGUGCAGAAGCCUAUUAUCUGCAAGCUGGAUAAGUCCAGAUCCACUAAACAGAAUGACCAGCUCUCCCUCUAUAAAGGGUCUGUGCUUGGCACUGGGGAUGGAUAACUUGUAUCUAAAUAUCUGCUUUUACAAACUGUUUGUUAAUCCUGUGACAGCGUCUCUGUCUAAUGCAUCUCUUUCAUUUUCUUACCCUUUGGUCACAAGAUUUUUUUUUUUUUUUCUUCUCCAUAAACGACCAGUAGAACAUUCUGAUGUCUACUAAUUUGCGUGACCAUACAUUGUGUUAACAAUAAAAAUUUGCAGCAUUGUCAGUGUGUGGAAUGAGAUUUAUUUUGUAUUUAUUGCAAUAAAAUAAGGAUGUUAGUUGUAUUUAGCAGACUGGGAUUGGG